UGGGGAAUUUUGGACAAUGGGCGCAAGCCUGAUCCAGCCAUGCCGCGUGCGGGAAGAAGGCCUUCGGGUUGUAAACCGCUUUUGUCAGGGAAGAAAUCUUCUGAGUUAAUACCUCGGGAGGAUGACGGUACCUGAAGAAUAAGCACCGGCUAACUACGUGCCAGCAGCCGCGGUAAUACGUAGGGUGCAAGCGUUAAUCGGAAUUACUGGGCGUAAAGCGUGCGCAGGCGGUUUUGUAAGACAGAGGUGAAAUCCCCGGGCUCAACCUGGGAACUGCCUUUGUGACUGCAAGGCUUGAGUGCGGCAGAGGGGGAUGGAAUUCCGCGUGUAGCAGUGAAAUGCGUAGAUAUGCGGAGGAAACACCGAUGGCGAAGGCAAUCCCCUGGGCCUGCACUGACGCUCAUGCACGAAAGCGUGGGGAGCAAACAGGAUUAGAUACCCUGGUAGUCCACGCCCUAAAACGAUGUCAACUGGUUGUUGGGAAGGUUCCUUCUCAGUAACGUAGCUAACGCGUGAANUUGACCGCCUGGGGAGUACGGCCGCAAGGUUGAAAC
rnacentral:rRNA from 1 species